AUGCAAAUUGAACUUUAGCAUUGUUUUAUAGCAUUUAACGUAAAUUUGUAAAUGAUAGUCUUUCACGUAACAUUUCUGUAAACUAAAUAUGUAUAUAUUGGGGGAUCGUGCGCGCUAGCGCACAGUCCAACAACUAGUUUUAAUAAGUAAAACAAGUGGGGACCAUGUCAUUUUAGGGUGUGGAGGGUGGGGUGUAAGAGCAUAUACAACCUUGACAGUAGCCUUCUGUCAAGUAGGUGUUGACAGUACAAAAAUGAUACAAUGUUGACAAUGAACUCCUGUCAAGUUGGGUUGAUACUUGACUGUGGUCACAUAUGUGCCCUCAUGUCAAGCUCUUUUGUAGAAUGGAAGAAAUAACUAACCAGUAAUUAUAAACAAAUUUAUCAAUAAUUAUUGUUGAGUAGAAAAAUUACUUUAGUUAAUUUAAAAACAGAUUCAACCAUCUUCUUGAAAGUUCCGCCAUAAUUUCUUCUUCCAUCGUUUUUUAAGUUUCCCAACAUCCAUGGUUUCAAUGGUUACAAAUUUGAAGAAGAUAAAGGUAUAGAGUAAAUACCUUAAUUUAGCCAUUGUUACAAUUUGAAGAAGAUGAAGGUAUAGAGUUUGAAAAAAAAAGAUGAAAAGAAGGCAAAAUUAUAAAAAAACAAAUAAAUUAAUUGUUGGAUAAAUUAAAAAGUAAUCUAAUUAAAGUUUGGAGGCUUCAAUUUGGAUUUUUUGAGCAGGAAUCCAUAUAUGGGUUGCUCUUGUUUUGGGGGAAGAAGAUGAACAAAUGAAAAAAUUGAAAGGGGAGAGAGAGUACCGUGGAAAGAUAUAGGUAAUAAAGGUGGGUAAUAAGUUUUAUAAAGUUAAUUAGGAAAAGAUUAUACAUUUAUAUAUAUAUAAAGUAGGUGAGAGAAAAUAGUAAUCUAGAGUCAAGAUUGUAGAAAAAAAAUAGAGGUUAAAGUAUGAGUUAUGUCAAGUUAGUGGGAGAUGACGUGUAAGAAGGAGAUGAUGAGAGAUAAAUUAUAUUACACUUGACCGAGAGUCAAGGAUGCACAUGGUCUAAUUAUGAAAUUAUUUGUUUAAGGAAAAUUCUUGUGUGAACCUGGUCCAUGAUAAAUUUGUGUGGACCUGAAGCCCACACGUGCAAGUGUGCAACCCGCGGAAAUUGUCCUUCUGUCUUCUUUCGCUAUUUCUCAUCGCUCUCCUUACUUUCUCUGUUUUCACUUCUCACGCCUCUCGUCGCUCUCCCUUCUUACUUUCCUUUCUCCAUCUCUCUUGUAGAUGCAAAAUCUAAUCGCUAAGUCAAAGUAGAUUUUUGAUAAAUUCAAAGAUCCUAAACCCUAAUCUCCGAUUCUUCGAUCAUCAGAUUCCAUGAAGACGACUAGCCGUCACUCUGCAUACUGACUUCACUGCAAGAUUCAGGAGAGAAGAGAGUCAGGUACUAGUGCUUGUCUGCAGAGGGAAAAAGCACCUAAGCUAGUAGAGAGGCUUACUUGUUUACCAAAACCGAGAUCGUCAAGUGCUCGAUACCUGAAGAUAACCCUACCCACAAUGUCAGUUAUGGAGAUUGGCCCAUAAGUAAUUUGGUUAUAGGUCAACCAUACUGCUACGACUUUGAUAACAUCAUAGAAGGAAAACAGGAAGCAAAAGAAUAUUUGCAUCUUGGCAGCUAAUCAAAGAGAGUAAAAUGGUAGAAAUACCAAGAUUUCAAGGAAACAUGAUAGCUGAUACAUAUAUAAACUAGAUAUUAAGAGAAGCAAUCACGCAAAGCCGCACAGGUUACUAAUGGACAUUGAUACCAAUGAGGUCAAGAAAGAUCAACGUCAGUCCAUUAUAUUGAGUUUUAUUACACCAAUCACCCUGUUUCAUUCUCUUCUUGGUUCUGCUAGCUACAACGAUGUUUUGUUUGUUUGCACUGAACAAGUAGUGAUCCAUUAAUCCAGUAUGUUGACAUCUCAUGCUUAGAAACUGAUGACUACAUUCAUUGCUGAUUACGAGCUUUUAGAAUUAUUAACUGAAACUGAAACAUGUAAGUAAAAAACUUUACCAGUUUAAGCAAUUCAUCCUAGAUGAUACUUUAGAUAUGUGCUGAAUAAGAGGCCAAUCUUCGCCAUCA